GUGCUCAUUUCAGCAGCAUAUGUACUAAAAAUUGGAAGGCUACAGAGAAGAUUAACAUGGCCACUGUGCAAAGAUGACACAAAAAUUCAUGAAGCAUUGCAUAUUUUU
rnacentral:snRNA from 1 species